AAAAGAAAGACUGCAGGCUACAGAAAAUAAAUUAAGAAAAAUUAAAAAACAAAAAACCCACAGCAGCACGAACCCCAUCCUGCAGCCGACGGGCGACCAGCGCCCCCUGGCGGCGCGCUCCAGAGCCAGCUCCCACGGAAUCCACAGUCGCUCACGGAGCGUAUUGGUGGGGGCCCUGCCGUUCAUUUCUUUGUAAAAAACUGGGGUGACUGCCAAUACGCCUCCGCGCGGUGAGUUCCGCGGCGGGACAAACCCGCUGCAACCACACGAGGACAAGCGAGACCUUUCCCGGCCGGAGCGCUCCUUUCCAAACCCCAGCGGCGCGUUCAGCCCGUCAGCCGCUCGGCGCCCUCAGCAGCAGCUGCUUCCAAUGGCACCCGCCCGUCUCCAGGGGAGCCGCCCCUGCACCGCGGGCUCAGCUGCAAAGACUUUAACAGACCGGGCUGCACACGUGCCGUCAGGUUACAUGAGCCCAGAUGUCGGUCGGCACGGAGGGGCUGAGCAGACGGAGCACGUGGCCUGUCUGGCUGGCCUCCCCACCCAGGAAUCUGCGAGUGUGGCUUCUUCAUUUAGGAUGUGGCCACUCUGAAUUGAGAACAUGAAAUCUCUCCAAACAUCCAUGUAAACCCGCGUCCAAACCUCAGGGUCUCAUGCUCCGUAAAGCCCGACUUUAGCUCACACUUAGCAAACCAAUGGAUACCCUAACUUCUGUUAACCAGUUAACUACCACACGUCCAAAACGGAAACCAUCCCCAUACGCCACGAUAUUUUGAAUUUAAUUUAAAAAAUCAAUUUGCAAUGAAUAUUA